rnacentral:rRNA from 1 species
AGUGAACGCUGGCGGUAGGCUUAACACAUGCAAGUCGAACGGCAGCACAGUAAGAGCUUGCUCUGCCGGGUGGCGAGUGGCGGACGGGAGAGGAAUACAUCGGAAUCUACAUUUUCGUGGGGGUUAACGUAGGGAAACUUACGAUAGUACCGCAUACGCCCUACGGGUGAAAGCAGGGGAACGUCUGACCUUUCGGGAUUGGAUGCGCCGAUGUCGGAUUAGCUAGUUGGCGGGGUAAAGGCCCACCAAGGCGAGGAUCCGUAGCCGGUCUGAGAGGCUGAUCGCCGGCACUGGAGCUUGGACGCGGACAAGACGCCUGCGGGAGGGACCAGUGGGGAAUGUUGGGCAACAGGGGCAAGCCUGAUCCAGCCAUACCGCGUGGGUGAAGGAGGCCUUCGGGUUGUAAAGACCUUUUGUUGGGAAAGAAAAGCAGCCGGUUAAUACCCCGCUGUUCUGACGGUACUCAAAGAAUAAGCACCGGCUAACUUCGUG